CCUACGGGAGGCAGCAGUGGGGAAUAUUGGACAAUGGGGGCAACCCUGAUCCAGCCAUGCCGCGUGUGUGAAGAAGGCCCUCGGGUUGUAAAGCACUUUCAGUGAGGAAGAACGCCUGGUGGUUAAUACCCAUCAGGAAAGACAUCACUCACAGAAGAAGCACCGGCUAACUCCGUGCCAGCAGCCGCGGUAAUACGGAGGGUGCGAGCGUUAAUCGGAAUUACUGGGCGUAAAGCGCGCGUAGGUGGCUUGAUAAGCCGGUUGUGAAAGCCCCGGGCUCAACCUGGGAACGGCAUCCGGAACUGUCAAGCUAGAGUGCAGGAGAGGAAAGUAGAAUUCCCGGUGUAGGGGUGAAAUUCGUAGAGGUCGGGAGGAAUACCAGUGGCGAAGGCGGCCUUCCGGACUGACACUGACACUGAGGUGCGAAAGCGUGGGUAGCAAACAGGAUUAGAUACCCCUGUAGUC
rnacentral:rRNA from 1 species